rnacentral:rRNA from 1 species
GACGAACGCUGGCGGCGUGCUUAACACAUGCAAGUCGAACGGUAAGGCCCCUUCGGGGGUACACGAGUGGCGAACGGGUGAGUAACACGUGAGUAACCUGCCCCUAACUCUGGAAUAACGGCUGGAAACAGCCGCUAAUACCGGAUAUGACCUCGAGCGUCAUCGCUCAAGGUGGAAAGCUCCGGCGGUUAGGGAUGGACUCGCGGCCUAUCAGCUUGUUGGUGAGGUAACGGCUCACCAAGGCUUCGACGGGUAGCCGGCCUGAGAGGGCGACCGGCCACACUGGGACUGAGAUACGGCCCAGACUCCUACGGGAGGCAGCAGUGGGGAAUAUUGCACAAUGGGCGCAAGCCUGAUGCAGCAACGCCGCGUGUGGGAUGACGGCCUUCGGGUUGUAAACCACUUUCAGCUAGGACGAAGCGCAAGUGACGGUACUAGCAGAAGAAGCACCGGCCAACUACGUGCCAGCAGCCGCGGUGAUACGUAGGGUGCGAGCGUUGUCCGGAAUUAUUGGGCGUAAAGGGCUCGUAGGCGGUUCAUCACGUCGGAAGUGAAAACUCGGGGCUUAACCCCGAGCCUUGCUUCCGAUACGGGUGAACUAGAGGUAUGCAGGGGAGAAUGGAAUUCCUGGUGGAGCGGUGGAAUGCGCAGAUAUCAGGAGGAACACCAGUGGCGAAGGCGGUUCUCUGGGCAUUACCUGACGCUGAGGAGCGAAAGCGUGGGGAGCAAACAGGCUUAGAUACCCUGGUAGUGCACGCCGUAAACGGUGGGCACUAGGUGUGGGACUCAUUCCACGAGUUCCGUGCCGAAGCUAACGCAUUAAGUGCCCCGCCUGGGGAGUACGGCCGCAAGGCUAAAACUCAAAGGAAUUGACGGGGGCCCGCACAAGCGGCGGAGCAUGCGGAUUAAUUCGAUGCAACGCGAAGAACCUUACCUGGGUUUGACAUAUACCGGAAAGCUGCAGAGAUGUAGCCCCCGCAAGGUCGGUAUACAGGUGGUGCAUGGCUGUCGUCAGCUCGUGUCGUGAGAUGUUGGGUUAAGUCCCGCAACGAGCGCAACCCUCGUCCUAUGUUGCCAGCACGUCAUGGUGGGGACUCAUGGGAGACUGCCGGGGUCAACUCGGAGGAAGGUGGGGAUGACGUCAAGUCAUCAUGCCCCUUAAGUCCAGGGCUUCACGCAUGCUACAAUGGCCGGUACAAAGAGCUGCAAUACCGCAAGGUUGAGCGAAUCUCAAAAAGCCGGCCUCAGUUCGGAUUGGGGUCUGCAACUCGACCCCAUGAAGUCGGAGUCGCUAGUAAUCGCAGAUCAGCAAUGCUGCGGUGAAUACGUUCCCGGGCCUUGUACACACCGCCCGUCAAGUCAUGAAAGUCGGUAACACCCGAAGCCGGUGGCCCAACCUUUUGGAGGGAGCCGUCGAAGGUGGGACUGGCGAUUAGG